GUAAAACCGGAAAAAAAAAAUUAGAGCUGGAGGGUAGUGAAAGUUAACAGAAGCAGUUUUAAAGUUGAUUAGUGGGUUUUCUACAGUCGAUAUUGUCGAUAUUCUCCAGAAAGCAUGAGAACAGUCUAGGAGUAUAAUGUUAAGAAAAAUUGUAAAAAUCGCAGGGAACAUCGCCAAAAGAAACUUCACCGCGGACUUCAUGAGGCUGCAGAGGAAAAAAAAAAUGACUAAACCACAGAGACCGAAGUUUCUUUGUGAAUUCCCUGCGAAUCACCCCUUUGAGAAUUAGUUCAGGCAGAAGCAAUGAAAUCGUAAAUGGGAAUUCCUUUCUCCUGCUACUUGAGCCCUCUGAGCUGCUCUCUGAGUCUCUGGGGAAAGGAAAGCUGCAGUGAGCAUCCUGCCAUCCCAGGGAACUCCAUUCUCCUGCUACUCCUCCACCUCCAUCACUACUUAUUCAUACUGUAGGAUCCUGUGUGUGCCGCAUCGUUCCUGCUGGCGAGACGUAGCGCGGGACAUCUGGUGCCGAAAACCCGGGAAAGACCUCGCCAUCGUCAGCACCUUCGGAGAUCCCUUGGCGACAAGGAGGAUUCAGAACUGCAGGACAAUGAAAAUCCCAUAUGGAUCCCAGGACGACUUACUCUGAGCAUCACAGCAAGUGAUCAAGAAGGGACUGGGACUCCUGCACCUCCUCACUCUUCUUCCAUGGAUGCCAGCAACGGUGCAGGGCGAGCUAGGAUGGGGAAUAAUGUCAACCUUUCCACUCCCGAUGCCGGUGAUGUACCACUAACAGGGAUUUAGGGUUGGCCUAUUUACCUAAGGAUCCACAGGUUGAAUGACUGAAAGAAAAUAGGACUAUUCCCCUUAAGGGCAGCCUUUGUUUUGGCAUAUUCAACAAAACAUCUUUUGAUCUCCCUUGCAUUAUGUUAUAUAAUCAAUCUUCUGCUUGGUUAAGGGAGGCCACAUGGGGAACUGGUGAGGAGGACAUUGUGGCUAACGCCACAGUUCUCUAUGGUGGUGGCCUUACAUUGCGUUAAUGGUAGCUGCACUGAUCUUACGCCCAUGGCGAUGCUACUUGGAGGUAAGGGCGAAAAGGGACGGUUGUCAUUUUCCUGGAUGGGGAACGUCAAACCUCCUGCCUCUGUCUGGACAGCUACUCAUAUAAAAUAUCGCAGUAGUUACCCGCAUGCCUCGCUUUAUCCCGAUCCCUGUUGAUACCCCGGGGACCAUGACCUUAUUUAGAGGAAAAAGAGAUGUUGGUACUUCUGCAAUUAUUGCUGGCAUUAUUGCUAUGACAGCAGUCGCUGCCUCGGUUACUGCCUCAGCAUUGGCCUUGUCAAAUUCAGUACAGACAACCCAAAGUAUCAAUGAUUUAUCGGCCACCAUCUCUGUGGCUUGGGACAGACAGGCCUCGGCCAAUACUCAGAUAUAGGGAGGCCUUAUGCUUGUCAACCAACGUAUAGAUCUGGUCCGAGAGCAAUUAGACAUUCUAUGGCAACUGGCCCAGCUUGGCUGUGAUCAAAAACUCCCAGGCCUUUGUGUCACCUCCAUAUAAUAUGACAAAUUUACCCUCUGCUAAUCUAAGAGUCUUUCACAGCAUCUGUUACAGAAUUGGACCUCGGAGUUUGAACAGACACUUCGGGAGCUGAGAGCGACCAUCAUUCAAGUAAAUUCUACCCGACUGGACCUGUCUGUGACGGAGGGAUUGUCGUCCUGGAUCACCUCAGCAGUCUCUUAUUUCAAGGAAUGGGUGGGAGUGGGAUUUUUGGAGUGAUCCUCUGCUGUGGAUUAGUGUUACUCCUCUGGUUGCUUUGCAAAUUGAGAUCUCAAACAAAAAAGGACAAAGUAGUGAUCACCCAGGCGCUUGUAGCCCUUGAACAAGGAGCGUCAGCCGAUAUCUGGUUGACCAUGCUCAAGCAACAGGUCGCCGGCUGGACAGCUCUUGCACUCCUAGAACCUCGGUUCAUUGCACAGGAUUAGAGUGUCCGGCUUGAGCAGCCCAUGAGGGGUGACGAACUUAGCAUCGCACAGGGAAGUUCUACCAACUACACUCCCUGGAAGGCAUGUCAUAUUACAUGAGGGUUUCUGCCCCAGUUUUCCCUCCCUCGAAAAAUGGCAGUGCGACGGGUCGGGAGUGCCCUGGGUCCCAACAACAGCCUAAGGGUAUCUCUCUUGUACAGGUUCGCCAACUUUGUAUGAGGAUAUGACCUAUGUCUUCGCCCUCCUAUAUCUGGGUGUCCUGUUUGCUUAAAAAACAGAAAAGGGGGAGAUGUGAGGAGCUGUCCGAGGAGCUGUCCUCACAGAUGUGAGGAGCUGUCCAAGGAGCUGUCCUCACAUAUGUGAGGAGCUGUCCUCACAAACUCCAUUACAAGAUGGCACCGGCAUCCGGCAGAACGCACGUAGUAAAAAGGGCAAUACGCAGGCGCCUGGUAACUUCCCUACUCAAAGGGACACGUACGUUUUGGUACGUCAUCUGGCAUAAUUGGCAGCGACCAGUCAGAGAGUGACACGUCCUAGGCGAGGAUAGUUUCCUAUAUAAGGGAUGGUUAUUCCUCACUCUCCGUCUCCGCAUUGUAAGCUUAUGCUCUCCCUCUCAAGACGCAUUAAAGCUUUUCUGCAGUAUGAUCCUGUGUGUGCCG